UACGUAGGGCGCAAGCGUUAUCCGGAAUUAUUGGGCGUAAAGAGCUCGUAGGCGGUUUGUCGCGUCUGCCGUGAAAGUCCGGGGCUCAACUCCGGAUCUGCGGUGGGUACGGGCAGACUAGAGUACUGCAGGGGAGACUGGAAUUCCUGGUGUAGCGGUGAAAUGCGCAGAUAUCAGGAGGAACACCGGUGGCGAAGGCGGGUCUCUGGGCAGUAACUGACGCUGAGGAGCGAAAGCGUGGGGAGCGAACAGG
rnacentral:rRNA from 1 species